ACAAGCACUUUGAAACACUUUUGUUUAGUUUUGCUACAAAUGCAAAUGUGUAUUUAUAUCUUUAUUUGUGCAUAUAUAAAUAUGUCUUUAUUUUUUGCAGAAGAACCUGAAGGACUGUCCCACUAUCACAAAUCGUGCUGUUGAAUUUUCCACACUUGGGCAAAUCGCCGGGGCCAGCACAGCUGAAGUACAGCAGAUACUGCUGGGUUCAUAUUUACAUAAGGAGGAGCUUUAAAUUGGGACAAAAAUAUAUUGACCUUCAUGCUGUCCAGAAAUUGGACUCCUAAAACUGACAAUGGUGGUAUAUGGAGAGGGGGUGGCUUUUGGGAGAGUGUUAACCCCUGAUGGUGGAGCCCUCAGAAUUGGGAUCCGCAUCUUAUGGAAAGAAACCCCAGAGAAAUGUUUAUCCUUCCAUCAUGUGAGGAUGUUGGUAGAAGGCCAUCCCUCAUCAGCCGUCCAAGUAGCAGUGCCUUGACACUGACCUUCCAGGCCUGCAGAACUGUGAGAAAUCACUGCUCAUUACCAGCUACCUGGUCUGUGAUAUCCUGCUGUCUCUGACUGAACUGAUUGAAAUAAUUCGGUAAAAUGAACACCUGUGAAAUUGGCCAGCUACUUCCGUAGGUGAU